CGUUUAGGGGUAAACCUGAGAAACCCGAAAGGUCGAAGGGAGAAAUUCAUUCGCGUUUCAUAGCAGGCAUUAGAUGGAUUGUGUGACGAAAAAAUAUUUAUUUAUUUUUUUGCAUCAUCUAUUUAUUUGAACCGGUUAUGAACGUGUGCACUUUUCUCCUGGUAGGACGUCGCGAUCCGUCGAGUGUCGGUCUACGACUUAUAAUGUUGACCAUUUGUUAAUUCCGUUAAAAGAAUUGAAUAAAUGGACUUGUAUGUUUUCUGGCCGACUUGCUCAACGGUAUAUAGAAUGGUUUGAGGCCGCUACUUUUUUGAAGCGUUUGACUUAUUGCAAGCGCGCUAGAUGUUUGUCGUUAAUCGGACCUAGUGCCGGUUUCGGCCUCUAGUGACUGUUGGCAAUAAUGUUCUUAAACAGACCUCGUUAAUUUAAAAAACCUAUCUGCGACGCUAUAGCUUUGGGUACUUUCAGGACCCGUCUUGAAACACGGACCAAGGAGUCUAGCAUAUACGCAAGUCAUUGGGUUAUUACGAAACCUAAAGGCGUAAUGAAAGUAAAAAUCUUUCUUGUAAAGAUUUAGGGAAGACGAGUGGGUGUUAGAAAUAAUAACUACUCUGCAUUCCCGGGGCGUCUCAUUCUCAUUAUGAGAAGAGGCGCACCAAGAGCGUAUACGCUGGGACCCGAAAGAUGGUGAACUAUGCCUGGUCAGGACGAAGUCAGGGGAAACCCUGAUGGAGGUCCGUAGCGAUUCUGACGUGCAAAUCGAUCGUCGGAACUGGGUAUAGGGCCGAAAGACUAAUCGAACCAUC
rnacentral:rRNA from 1 species